rnacentral:tRNA from 1 species
GGAGGUUUAGCUCAGUGGCGUAAGCACCUGCCUUGCAAGCAGGUGGUCGUGAGUUCGAUCUCCG